rnacentral:rRNA from 1 species
GAUGAACGCUGGCGGCGUGCCUAAUACAUGCAAGUAGAACGCUGAAGGAGGAGCUUGCUCUUCUGGAUGAGUUGCGAACGGGUGAGUAACGCGUAGGUAACCUGCCUGGUAGCGGGGGAUAACUAUUGGAAACGAUAGCUAAUACCGCAUGACAACAGUUAUUGCAUGAUAACUGUUUAAAAGGGGCAACUGCUCCACUACCAGAUGGACCUGCGUUGUAUUAGCUAGUUGGUGAGGUAACGGCUCACCAAGGCGACGAUACAUAGCCGACCUGAGAGGGUGAUCGGCCACACUGGGACUGAGACACGGCCCAGACUCCUACGGGAGGCAGCAGUAGGGAAUCUUCGGCAAUGGACGGAAGUCUGACCGAGCAACGCCGCGUGAGUGAAGAAGGGUUUCGGAUCGUAAAGCUCUGUUGUAAGAGAAGAACGAGUGUGAGAGUGGAAACUUCACACUGUGACGGUAUCUUACCAGAAAGGGACGGCUAACUACGUG